CAGGGAGACAACAAAAUGUUUAAUAUUAUUAUUUUGUCACCUUAGGUCGAUCGGUAUCUCACAUUCUUAAUUUAUUAAGGAUUUCAUUUCCUAAGUUUUUCUAGGUCACACCCAUUUUUUCCUGGGCCAUUAGCUCAGGUGGUUAGAGCGCACCCCUGAUAAGGGUGAGGUCCCUGGUUCAAGUCCAGGAUGGCCCAUAUCUCUAUGUUGGGGGUAUAGCUCAGUUGGUAGAGCGCCUGCUUUGCAAGCAGGAUGUCAGCGGUUCGAGUCCGCUUACCUCCACUGAUUACCACCUCUUCCAUAAAUCUGUGAGAAAGGAAAAACUUUUUUGUGUUGUGACCAUAUUCUGAACGAAUCUAGCUUCCUAAUGAAAACAUUAAGAUGCUGGACUCAUUGAAUUAUUUUCAUUGUUUUCAGAGAACCUUGACAACUGCAUAGAUUAUUUUUUAAAGACAAUAAGCAUCUUUUAAUGAUGCAGAUUUAUUAUUUGUGCGAAUGCAUUAAUAACAAUUCUAUUAAGCUGAUGCUUCAAUUUUGAAGUUAUU
rnacentral:tRNA from 1 species